rnacentral:rRNA from 1 species
GAUGAACGCUAGCGGGAGGCCUAACACAUGCAAGCCGAGCGGUGGAAUCUUUUCGGAGAUUUGAGAGCGGCGUACGGGUGAGGAACACGUGUGCAACCUGCCUUUAUCUGGGAGAUAGCCUUACGAAAGGAAGAUUAAUAUCACAUAAUAUAUUUAGUGGCAUCACUAAAUAUUCAAAGCUCCAGCGGAUAGAGAUGGGCAUGCGUAAGAUUAGAUAGUUGGUGAGGUAACGGCUCACCAAGUCUACGAACUUUAGGGGGACUGAGAGGGUGAUUCCCCGGAGUGGUGCUGAGACACGGACCAGACUGCGACGGAGGGCAGCAGUGAGGAAGAUUGGACAAUGGGUGCAAGCCUGGUCCAGCCAUCCCACGUGAAAGAUUAAGGUCCUAUGAAUUGUAUACUACUUUUGUAGAGGGAUAAACCUCUCCUCGUGAGGAGAGCUGAAGGUACUGUAUGAAUAAGCAACGGCUAACUCCGUGCCAGCAGCCGCCGUAA